rnacentral:lncRNA from 1 species
CUCUUAUCUCUCACCAGCUUCUAAACAAGAUGGCCAAACGCUGUUUAAGGGACCUCUUUCUUCCUCAGGGCUGCUCCCAGCGUUUGCUUCAAUGCCUCUCGGUUUAUAGCCUCCAAAGGAACUUCUUCAUCAGAUUUAAGGUAUGCUAUGUCACUCAGUGAACCAAACGAAAGCAGAAUACAACUCACAUUGAUGUUUAUGGUAUUUUGUACUUAAUGACUCUUAAACUACACUUCCUAAAUUACUCUCAUAAAAAAACUGAAUUUGAAAAGCCGUUUUUCUCAACUGCCACUAAUAGGCUUAUCUCAUUUUGCUCUGUUGCUCAAUUGAGCAUGACAGAUUUAGCCAGUUUUUAUCUUUUAAAUUUUUUUUCUUUACUCCUGCUUUGCAACAUAAAUGUUUUGUCAUUGUUUUUUUUUUUUUCAUCUGAGGGCAAACUAAAUUUCCAACUACCUCUGAUAGUCUGAUUUUUUAAAUGUAUCCUCCCAGUGUUUUUUGUUCUUUGUACAUAGAAGCAGACUAUAAGCCUGACAGUGGUUCCAAAGUUUGCAACAGAUAGCUGAUCUUUGGUUACUUGAUCUGCCUUGAUCUUCCUUGAACAAGGAAGGGCGAUUUGUUCCUUUUUGCCUAAAAAUGGGAACUGAAUAUGCUACUGAUGUCAAGCAGUACUAAACCACAGCUAGAACAAGAGCAGUACAUGUGUGCAUAUAAGAUAAGGGCUUUGAGAAUGCUAAUAUUUGGUCUAUUUUCACUUAAUGCCAGGAACAUUCUGCAGUUAGGUAUUAUUCAGAAAGGUAACUCAUGUAAUAACUUUGCUCUGUGAGUCCUUUUAUCUAUAAGCCUCAGGCAUUG